UUCCAAGCAUAGGUGUUUCGGUUACGGAGCAAAAAGUUCUCGACGCAUUAUCGCUUGCUACUAGUAUUCCAUUGCCGGAGGGUGAUACAACACCAAUGGCUCUGAAUAAGGAAAGUUUGUUGGUUGCAUCAAGCAUGUCACUGAAUCGGUAUCUGGAUGAAUGGCAGUCGAAGCCGAAGAUAUUGGAAAACAAGCAACGUGACAUUUCUGAAGAAGAAAUCACACAGUACACCGACUUGGAAUUUGGAUUCGAACUCAACGAGAUUUCAAUAAAGAUAUUCAAAGAUUCUGAAGAAUUGCUGUCACCGAAAUCGCCAAGUUCGCC